GGGGAAUAUUGGACAAUGGGCGAAAGCCUGAUCCAGCCAUGCCGCGUGUGUGAAGAAGGUCUUCGGAUUGUAAAGCACUUUAAGUUGGGAGGAAGGGCAGUAAAUUAAUACUUUGCUGUUUUGACGUUACCGACAGAAUAAGCACCGGCUAACUCUGUGCCAGCAGCCGCGGUAAUACAGAGGGUGCAAGCGUUAAUCGGAAUUACUGGGCGUAAAGCGCGCGUAGGUGGUUCGUUAAGUUGGAUGUGAAAUCCCCGGGCUCAACCUGGGAACUGCAUUUCAAAACUGA
rnacentral:rRNA from 1 species